GAUGAACGCUGGCGGCGUGCCUAAUACAUGCAAGUCGAGCGAACGGACGAGAAGCUUGCUUCUCUGAUGUUAGCGGCGGACGGGUGAGUAACACGUGGAUAACCUACCUAUAAGACUGGGAUAACUUCGGGAAACCGGAGCUAAUACCGGAUAAUAUUUUGAACCGCAUGGUUCAAAAGUGAAAGACGGUCUUGCUGUCACUUAUAGAUGGAUCCGCGCUGCAUUAGCUAGUUGGUAAGGUAACGGCUUACCAAGGCAACGAUGCAUAGCCGACCUGAGAGGGUGAUCGGCCACACUGGAACUGAGACACGGUCCAGACUCCUACGGGAGGCAGCAGUAGGGAAUCUUCCGCAAUGGGCGAAAGCCUGACGGAGCAACGCCGCGUGAGUGAUGAAGGUCUUCGGAUCGUAAAACUCUGUUAUUAGGGAAGAACAUAUGUGUAAGUAACUGUGCACAUCUUGACGGUACCUAAUCAGAAAGCCACGGCUAACUACGUGCCAGCAGCCGCGGUAAUACGUAGGUGGCAAGCGUUAUCCGGAAUUAUUGGGCGUAAAGCGCGCGUAGGCGGUUUUUUAAGUCUGAUGUGAAAGCCCACGGCUCAACCGUGGAGGGUCAUUGGAAACUGGAAAACUUGAGUGCAGAAGAGGAAAGUGGAAUUCCAUGUGUAGCGGCGAAAUGCGCAGAGAUAUGGAGGAACACCAGUGGCGAAGGCGACUUUCUGGUCUGUAACUGACGCUGAUGUGCGAAAGCGUGGGGAUCAAACAGGAUUAGAUACCCUGGUAGUCCACGCCGUAAACGAUGAGUGCUAAGUGUUAGGGGGUUUCCGCCCCUUAGUGCUGCAGCUAACGCAUUAAGCACUCCGCCUGGGGAGUACGACCGCAAGGUUGAAACUCAAAGGAAUUGACGGGGACCCGCACAAGCGGUGGAGCAUGUGGUUUAAUUCGAAGCAACGCGAAGAACCUUACCAAAUCUUGACAUCCUUUGACAACUCUAGAGAUAGAGCCUUCCCCUUCGGGGGGGCAAAGUGACAGGUGGUGCAUGGUUGUCGUCAGCUCGUGUCGUGAGAUGUUGGGUUAAGUCCCGCAACGAGCGCAACCCUUAAGCUUAGUUGCCAUCAUUAAGUUGGGCACUCUAAGUUGACUGCCGGUGACAAACCGGAGGAAGGUGGGGAUGACGUCAAAUCAUCAUGCCCCUUAUGAUUUGGGCUACACACGUGCUACAAUGGACAAUACAAAGGGCAGCGAAACCGCGAGGUCAAGCAAAUCCCAUAAAGUUGUUCUCAGUUCGGAUUGUAGUCUGCAACUCGACUACAUGAAGCUGGAAUCGCUAGUAAUCGUAGAUCAGCAUGCUACGGUGAAUACGUUCCCGGGUCU
rnacentral:rRNA from 1 species